rnacentral:rRNA from 1 species
GACGAACGCUGGCGGCGUGCUUAACACAUGCAAGUCGAACGGAAAGGCCCUGCUUUUGUGGGGUGCUCGAGUGGCGAACGGGUGAGUAACACGUGAGUAACCUGCCCUUGACUUUGGGAUAACUUCAGGAAACUGGGGCUAAUACCGGAUAGGAGCUCCUGCUGCAUGGUGGGGGUUGGAAAGUUUCGGCGGUUGGGGAUGGACUCGCGGCUUAUCAGCUUGUUGGUGGGGUAGUGGCUUACCAAGGCUUUGACGGGUAGCCGGCCUGAGAGGGUGACCGGCCACAUUGGGACUGCGGUACUGCCCAGACUCCUACGGGAGGCAGCGGUGGGGAAUAUUGCACAAUGGGCGGAAGCCUGAUGCAGCAACGCCGCGUGCGGGAUGACGGCCUUCGGGUUGUAAACCGCUUUCGCCUGUGACGAAGCGUGAGUGACGGUAAUGGGUAAAGAAGCACCGGCUAACUACGUG